ACCGAUGAACGUUCGCUUCCGCCUCCUCUAGGAUGGUGCGGGCCCCUGCGUGGGGUGGGGCGGUCGAGGGUGGACUGUUUACAGUGUGCCCCGGCUUAGCUCUGCCCGGCUGUGGUGUGUGCUCCCGUGUGCAAGCUUAGGGUCCGUGGCGAAUCGGUCGGCACCCUAUCAGACCCGUCUUGAAACACGGACCAAGGAGUCUAACAUGUGUGCGAGCUGUUGGGCUUUACGAAACCCGCAGGCGCAAUGAAAGUGAAGGGCGUUCUCGGAGCGUCUUGGGCAGGAUCCCCUCACGGGGCGCACUGCCGGCCCGUCUCGAUCUCCUCGUAGAUGAGGCGGAGCAAGAGCAUACACGUUGGGACCCGAAAGAUGGUGANCUAUGCUUGANUAGGAUGAAGUCAGGGGAAACCCUGAUGGAGGNCCGUAGCGAUUCUGACGUGCAAAUCGAUCGUCGAACUUGGGUAUAGGGGCGAAAGACUAAUCGAACCGUCUAGUAGC
rnacentral:rRNA from 1 species